UACGAAGGGUGCAAGCGUUAAUCGGAAUUACUGGGCGUAAGGCGUGCGCAGGCGGUUUUGUAAGUCUGUCGUGAAAGCCCCGGGCUCAACCUGGGAAUUGCGAUGGAGACUGCAAGGCUUGAAUCUGGCAGAGGGGGGUAGAAUUCCACGUGUAGCAGUGAAAUGCGUAGAGAUGUGGAGGAACACCGAUGGCGAAGGCAGCCCCCUGGGUCAAGAUUGACGCUCAUGCACGAAAGCGUGGGGAGCAAACAGG
rnacentral:rRNA from 1 species